UCCACUUGGUUUUUAGUUUGGUGUCUUUUUUGUAGUGAGCCAACCAAUCCUCACUAGCCUUCGCCUUUGCUUUUGCAUAGCAGCAGUGAAUAGAAGUUAGGGAGAGUUCAGUACUGUGACAAUAUUGGUUGAGUCUGCUAAAUAUUUUAUUUUCCACAAAUAAAGGAGAAUACCAUUCCUUUAAUUCCAUGUAUUUGUCUCCAUUAUCAUUAAGAAGUAGGGAAAAACAUGAAAGUAGCAGUAGUUGGGGCAGGAAUAAGUGGACUUGUUUCUGCAUAUGAAUUGGCAAAAGCUGGUGUCAAAGUUGUGGUUUAUGAGAAGGAAAAUUAUCUCGGCGGCCAUGCCAAGACUGUUACUGUUGAUGGCGUUGAUCUUGACCUUGGUUUUAUGGUCUUCAAUCGGGAAUGAUAAAAAGGAAAGAAUGGAGAUCCUCAGCAAGAUGUUGUUGUUACAUCAAUGGUCAAUCAAGAGAAGUAAAUUUAUUCGUCCUCAAUCAAAGGAACUCAGAUUGCCAAUCUCGCCAGCAAUUAUUCUGUUUCUAGAAUUAAGCUCACUCCGGGGGUGAAUGGCUCCUUAAUUCAAGCGCUGAGAAGGAAAGUCACAAUCGAAUCUGGACUCUUCAAAGAGCAGGAUUCGAAGAGGCACCCCUUGGGUCAAAACCCUUUUGCAAAGAUCUCGUGCCUCUGAUUUCGCUGAAGACUCAACGACUCUUUUCUCUCCUAUAAGAAGGCUGAUACUUUCAAGAAGAGGACUUGCGCAACUACAUACAUUGUAUUCUAAGUCCGUCUACUUUUUAGUUCAAACAACGUAAGUUAUCAGUGUCUCAAAAGAUAGAAAGAUCUAGAACACAAAAGAGAAUUGUGUCAAUUACUCAGAACUCAAGGUGUGAUACUGUUCGUUGGUGGUGAACGCGUUAAAACCAUCUGUGUUGUAACAUUUUCAAAGAUCUUAAGGGAACCCUUGUGACCCAAGGGAAAUAGGAUGUAAGUACCACAACGGUACCGAACCAGUAU